UGAUUCUAAUCGUUGGACUCGUAAUAUUCUACCGUAGCCGCGGGACUUUUUUGAGAGGGGGGGGGGAGUGGGGGUUUGUAAUAAUACAAAUCUUAUUUUCCAGGUUGGACCAGGCUACAUCGAGUUCACAACAUUAUUUGCAAAUGUCGAAGUAUACAUGACUCUCUGUGUUACGCCAAUUGGGCCACUUAAAGUUCGAUUGAGCGGACGACUGUAUGCGCCAUCAUUUCACAUUCUCAUAGGACGAUUCUUAUUGAGUGGAUUUAGCAAAACCUUUGAGCAAGACGUCGCUAUAUGGAACUACGGAAAACCAAGAUUGCAUCAGAACGUGGUAAAGGAGGAAGGAUCCUUAAUCAACUUCAGGCGAUGGUACAGUCAGUUCUACUCAAAAACACCGUCUUUUUAGACUGUGAACAAAGGGAUAUUUGUGAAUGAUUCAAAUAAUGCCCGGCAAAGUAUGCAUUAAAUUAUGUUGAUUCGGUUGGAUCCAAAGUAGAGGCAUAUGGAUGUUUCAUAUCGACAGUGUAAGUCGGCAAUCACAUAACUCGUUUGCGGUGUCUGAAAAUCUCCGCCUCUAUGUUAUUUUUUUAAAAGAGAACACAUUGACAUCAUCCAUUGCAGUUUAUGCAGAAUUUUCUUCGCACAGAGAAUAAAAAUCACGGCAGUUAUAAAGAACUGCCGUAGAGUAGUUUUCCGUUUAAAAAAUGAAGUAUGACAGGAAGUCUGCGACGUCGCAAACCGAGUUAUGUGAUUGCCGACUUACACCGUCGAUAUGCUCUUUGAAUCUGACUUCCAUCGAUAAUGACAGGUUUUUCGUGUAGUGUGCUAAUUAAUUUAUCACCGUGUGGUGAUUUUAAUACUAAUGUCAGCGCUCAUAGACUUUCGUGAGGGUAGUCACGAUUUCGGUUCUAGAGUCUGGAGUCUGGACUAUGACGCCUGGAAGUGCCACAUACAUUCGACUUCAGAUGGAGGGGGAGAGAGGGUCGUCAAGUAAAAAAUUCUCCUUUCGAUGCCGAGAAUCAAAAUUUGAUACGAGAAAUCACUUUUGUCACAGGUAACAUGACUGAAAUUUCAAUCAUAGGUUUUCUUUUAUUAAGUUUGAAACUUUGAAAGAUCUUCCGUAAACUGCUGUCAAGUUCUCAAACGGUUCAUCUUAAAUACCCGUGGAAGAUCAAUUCGAAAUGUAUGGUUCUCAUCACAAUCAGAGAAAAUAAAGUAUAAAUAAUGAAGCAAAAUUGUUUUUAAAAUCGUCGAUGUACCUACUGUGAAAUUGUGAUUUUUUAGGAAAGCUAUUGUCUUUUUACCGUAAGUUUCCUUUCUGUAGAAAAUGUGUAGCUAGUAUCUCCGUUGAGAUAUCAAUCUUGCGGUAAAAUAUGUGUCAAACACGGCAAUCAGCAGAAUGAUAUUAAAAUUACUGUCCUUGGUCGACGGUUCCUCGCAUUGGCAAAAUUGCCAUUUUAGCACAUUGUUUGAUGAUUGGUUCUCUCCAUUUGCAAGACGAUUUAUUCAAAAGUUUGUUAGGUAUUUGUUCUGAAACUUGAUUUUACAGGAUGUUUUAAAAAAAAUUAACUUUUCUGUAUCUACGAAUAUUUAAGUAAGUCGGACCAUAAAUUUACAUCAUUAUUUGAACAUUAUAUAUUUCUUCCUCUGCAUGCGUGCUAUUUUCCUCCUCCCCUCUCCCUCUUGUCAUCCUUCUGACGAUCCAAGUAAGUCAGAAAUUGGUUUACAAGUCAGAGUGCGGCACUUUUUUUGAUGAAAGGAUUGAGACGACAAUAAUUUUCCUGCAUAGGUAUUCUGGUAUGCAAUGACAUCAUCGCGAUACCGCAGUUGAUGACGUGUCGCUUUACACCUAUUGAAUAUGUCA
rnacentral:lncRNA from 1 species